CAACGACCAUGCUGUAACGUGUAUCUGUAUUCCUAGCCCCAGCAUCUCCAUUUGGCUUGGGGUCUUCCCAGGUGUGGCACCUGAGUCCUGCUCAUUGGGAGAAGGGGGAAUCUUGAAGACACUUUUCUCCCCUUGAACUCAGCGCCCAGCACUUUUCCACACCUGAACCUCAGCCCAGAUCCGUGAAAGGGCAGGAGCCUAUUGCUCCAGUGAGACAAGUCCCCUGUCUUUGUGGAUCCACCUGACCCUCGCCAGGUGCUGCUCCAGGGGUAUGGACCUGUGGGGGAGCCGGUGCUUCCUCCUGUCUAGCCUCUUGCUCAGACCAUCAUGCUCUGCUGGAUUGGAAGCCCUGGUUCUUGUGAGAGGGACUGAAGAACUUCCUGCAGGGGAUGCAGUAAAGGUACUAGUAAUCUAUAUUUCUAUAAAUCUGAAGCUGUGACC
rnacentral:lncRNA from 10 species